rnacentral:rRNA from 1 species
GUGUCAGCCGCCGCGGUAAAACGUAGGACGCUAGCGUUAUCCGGAUUUAUUGGGCGUAAAGCGCGUCUAGGCGGCGUCUUAAGUUGGGCGUGAAAUCUUCCGGCUCAACCGGAAGGGGCCGUCCAAUACUGGGAUGCUUGAGGGCAGCAGGGGGAGGUGGAAUUCCCGGUGUAGCGGUGGAAUGCGUAGAUAUCGGGAGGAACACCAGUGGCGAAGGCGGCCUCCUGGGCUGUACCUGACGCUGAAGCGCGAAAGCGUGGGGAGCGAACGGGAUUAGAUACCCCGGUAGUCCACGCUGUAAACGAUGGAUACUAGGUGUUGGUGGUAUUGACCCCAUCAGUGCCGCAGCUAACGCGUUAAGUAUCCCGCCUGGGGACUACGGCCGCAAGGCUAAAACUUAAAUGAAUUGACGGGG